UGGUCUGCAGGGAGGUGAACUGGAAUGGCAAUACAUGGUACACGGAAGAGCUUUGCCUCUGACGAUGACCCUCAGCUUUCCUGCUGCUCUCUUCCUAGGUUUUGUUUCUAAGUAUCUGGGCUUUGAAGAAUGGGGGUGGAGGGAUUCAAAGAAGACUUUUAGGAGGAGCCAGUCCCACUAGCAGAUAUUGUUGCUCUAACUCUGCCUAAGGAGCAAUUUCUGGCCCUGAGUCAUGAUCCCAAACAGGAAGUGCUUCUGAGUUCCUCCAAACAAGGUUUUUGCUACUUCAGGAAACCAUAGUUGUUGGCUGAUUUAGAAAAAUUACAGCAGCAUUAUACAAUAAGAGCUAUUUCUGCCCUCUUGUCACUAAAGUAUAACAAUAUUGCGUCCGGAAUUGGUGGGUUCUUGGUCUCACUGACUUCAAGAAUGAAGCCGCGGACCCUUGCGGGAUAGACACCUCCCUGAAUAAAGCCAUCAUCUGUAAUAACGCUGAGAUCUGGAGGAAGAGCUCUGUAGCACUACUGCAGAGUUGCUACAUGAACCCAUCAGAUCCUCCCUCCAGGAACUCGAAUGUAAAUCCAUUCAAGAGAAGUCAACCCUUGGAAGAUGGACAGAAGGGAAAAGACACACAGAAAAUAAGCCAGAAAGCAUCCACAGGAAGCAGAAGCUCUGGCAAGCAGGAAUUAAGAAACAGAGAAAAGGAAAGUGGAAACAUAUGAAUGCAUGUAAACAAUAGCAGUAAAAGCAAGGCAGAAAGUAGUUAGUGCCCAUAACAGCAAAGGACUGAAGCAGGCAGACAGAUACCUACAUUUAAGGAGUAUCUGCCAGAGCAAAAGAAGUAGAUUGGGUAUAAAUUCACCUUAUGUGCCUGCAGUGUUUAGUGCUUGGUGAGGUUUGGUCAUGUUACCGCUGACAUCUGCUACCCCUGUGUGUCCUUAAAAUCAAUCCUUAUUAUCUGAUGUAACCAUGAACUUCUCUUUCAUUCCUUAUGGCUUAAAAUACCUUACCCACCAACUGUGCUAUUAAUGACUUGUGUGGCCCGAGAUAGGUCACUUCCCUUGUCUACCUCGGUUUUCUUGGUGACAAGAUGAGGGUUUGACCAGGUGAUAUCUAAGUUCACUUCCAGCUCCAAUGCAUAUUAUUUUGAACUUUAGCAUGAAAGGGUUUGGUCACAGUUCUAUUGCAAAAUCCUGGAAAUAUCACCACCUUCUUUAUUUCCAGCCCCUUCUCCAGCCACAGAGCGCUUUAAACUUGAGACUCGCCUCAUAAGGAAUCUAAAUGCAGUGCCACUGUGCAAAUUAGCUGUGCAGCAUCCCAGGGGCACCCCAAGCAGGCUUGCCCAGCCUCAUGCAAUGCUUUCUGUUGAGCUAUCAGGAGAGUGUAUGCUCUGGCCCCAUCUCUCCAUUCUCAAGAUACUUUUUCAACCCCUACUAGAAAGAGAUGAAAACAAACUAUGGGAAGUUGCAAACAUGUUGAUGGGAAUUGAGGUAAAAUGCAGAAAGGUUGCUGGGUCUGGUGUGGUUGGAGGUGACUAUACCACUGUCCGAAGGAAAUCUGGAAGGGAUGAUUUUACAGGUUUUACUUAAAAUUUCAUUUCUGGCCGGGCGCGGUGGCUCGCGCCUGUAAUCUUAGCAUUUUGGGA
rnacentral:lncRNA from 1 species